CCGACCGCUUGGGUCUCACCGAAGGGUUGUCUUACCCCCUCCCUGGGGAAGCCCCGGGGAGACGGCCCUGCCUGGUAGGGCAGGCCAGUGGGAGGGAGGGGGCAAGGGCAGGUUAAAAGUAUAAACACAGACGUGGUGGGUUCCCAGCUCAGUGUCAGGUGAGUGAUCUUGGGCGAGUCUCUUAACCUGUCUGAGCCUUGGCUUCCUGGCCUGUGACAUGGAGUCAAUGAUAGAACCUUCCUCACUGGGUUGUUGGGAGACUGGGUGAGACAAUGCCUGUGAAGGGUCUAACACGGUGCCUGGCAGAUUGCAAACAGUCAAUGAGAGGGAGCUGCUACGAUUAUUUAUUAGGAGAGAGCGAGCUCCGUGCUCAGACGGCUCCAGUCUGUGAAUGAGGGGGAGGGGAUCUCAUCCUUCCUAAAUGUCUCGGAUGUGGCCUGCCAGGAAGACAGGCCAGGUCACAAGUGAGAGCCACCCGGUCCCUGGGAGUACAGGGAUCAGACCCGCAGGUGAGGAUUCUGGGGCCACGGCACCUACUGUCCCUACCAACUCCAUUGAAAAGCGCUAGGAAGAAUUUGCAGAAAGUUCUAGUGUAGCGCCUGGACUGCCUUGCGUCUCAGGCAUUUGCUCACUGGCAUUCCCUGCGUCUGUUCAGACAGAGCUUCUCUUUAUUUUUAUUUUUUUGUAGUUUUUGCUUUUGGCUAAGGACUUGCCGUGGGCCACCGAACUUGGAAUCAACUCUGGCUGUGCCUUUGGCUGCCUGGGUGAACUUGGGCUGCUCAUUUCACCUGUCAGCCUCACCAACCACAACUGAGAGCUUUGAGGACAAAGCCAGGUUACAGAAGUAAACUCUAAGUAGUGGAGGCGUCACAGGUAAUGAGGUGAUGGAUGGGCUAAUGCAUUCACUGGGUGUGUGUGUGUGUGUGUGUGUGUGUGUGUGUGUGUGUGUAUUUGAGAGGGAGAGUCCCAGUGUUCCUGGAGUAAGUAGAGACAGGUAUCACCACAAGAGGGCGCUCUGGGCCUUUUGUCUUCUGGGCUUUGAUUGAAAAGUUUCAUUUUUCUGUGGUUGCUUUCCAAAUGGAACUAAGAUUUAUGGUUUUUAGUUUCUCUAACUGAUUUAAUAAACUGUUAAAAUAAAUUCACGUCCGUUCAUUAGUUUAUCCAUUAGGUAGAUGCCCUAUCGUGGCCCCUGCCACAGGGCACCCUGGGAAGUGGGGUGAGGGGCAGGGGUGAGGACCGGGAGAAGCAUGUACUUUAUGGCGACCUGGUU